GAUGGUGCUUUGUCAUGUUGCCCAGGUUGAUCUCGACUCCCGAGCUCAAGCAAUCUGCCUGCCUUGACCCCCGCAAAGUGCUGAGAUUACAGUCACGAGCCACCACAUCCAGCCCAGCUCUCAGCAUUUUUUUAAAAGAUGCUCAGAAACACUACAGAAACCUCUUUGGUGGAAAAAAAAAGCUUGGGAUUGAAGAUUGUGGUGCUGAAAAAUGAAUAGCAAUCCACCUUGUAGACUGGAGAAUGGCUAACAAUAUCAUUCAGGCAAGUUCUGGUAUUUGGCAUGAUUCACUGAAGAAGAAAGUUGGUAUAUUUUUAAUCCCUAAAGAUGAUCCAGAUACUAUCAAAUUCUAUUUUCAUCCCCACUGUACCUCUCAGUACAAAUAUAUUUUUCUAACUGGAGAAUUCAAAGUGGUUCAUAUGCUCUCUUUAACCAAAAUUAUUCAGUAUUUUGAGACAAAAGUUUCAAGUUUGUGAGGUAGGAAACAGUUCAUUAU
rnacentral:lncRNA from 10 species